rnacentral:rRNA from 1 species
GGGCCCGCACAAGCGGUGGAGCAUGUGGUUUAAUUCGAUGAUACGCGAGGAACCUUACCAGGGCUUAAAUGUAGUGGGACAGGUCUAGAGAUAGACCCUUCUUCGGACUCAUUACAAGGUGCUGCAUGGUUGUCGUCAGCUCGUGCCGUGAGGUGUCAGGUUAAGUCCUAUAACGAGCGCAACCCCUAUCGUUAGUUGCCAGCGAGUAAUGUCGGGAACUCUAACGAAACUGCCAGUGCAAACUGUGAGGAAGGUGGGGAUGACGUCAAAUCAUCACGGCCCUUACGUCCUGGGCUACACACGUGCUACAAUGGCCGGUACAGAGAGCAGCCACUUCGCAAGAAGGAGCGAAUCUAUUAAAACCGGUCUCAGUUCGGAUCGGAGUCUGCAACUCGACUCCGUG